rnacentral:SRP_RNA from 1 species
UGCUGGGUCCCGUGCAGCGAACUCGCGUGAACCCCGUCAGGACCGAGAGGUAGCAGCGGUAAGCGUUGUUGUUCGGGUGACGCGGGAGUGCCUGGCGGAC